rnacentral:rRNA from 1 species
AUUGAACGCUGGCGGUAUGCCUUACACAUGCAAGUCGAUCGGUAACAGGUUAAGCUGACGAGUGGCGAACGGGUGAGUAAUACAUCGGAACGUGCCCAGUAGUGGGGGAUAGCCCGGCGAAAGCCGGAUUAAUACCGCAUACGACCUAAGGGUGAAAGGGGGGGAUCGCAAGACCUCUCGCUAUUGGAGCGGCCGAUGUCAGAUUAGGUAGUUGGUGGGGUAAAGGCCCACCAAGCCGACGAUCUGUAGCUGGUCUGAGAGGACGACCAGCCAAACUGGGACUGAGACACGGCCCAGACUCCUACGGGAGGCAGCAGUGGGGAAUUUUGGACAAUGGGCGCAAGCCUGAUCCAGCCAUGCCGCGUGCGGGAAGAAGGCCUUCGGGUUGUAAACCGCUUUUGUCAGGGAAGAAAUCCUUUGGGUUAAUGCCUCGGGGGGAUGACGGUACCUGAAGAAUAAGCACCGGCUAACUACGUGCCAGCCGCCGCCGUAA